rnacentral:lncRNA from 1 species
UGUGUAUAUAUAAGUAUACAUAGACUGUCAUGGGAAGCAAGUCGGGAGUGCAACCAGGGUGUCUUGACCCAGAGAGAUCUGUGGUGAUGGCAAACAGAUACGGUAUUCUGAAAGGAAAGACAAAAGGGGUGUUUCUUGGGGGAGGGUGUUUCUUGACUUACAUAUAGUUUUCAUAAAGGCAGGGGGCGAGGGCAGGAUGGAAUGUCAUUUAAAAUGACAAUUUAAAAAAUAGAUGGAUUAUAGACUACCACAAGAGCAAAAAAACACUGGUCUGCCUUAACUGCAGCUGCUAGUUUGGAUGCAGUAUCAUAUUUUA